rnacentral:rRNA from 1 species
GACGAACGCUGGCGGCGUGCUUAACACAUGCAAGUCGAACGGAAAGGCCCUGCUUUUGUGGGGUGCUCGAUUGGCGAACGGGUGAGUAACACGUGAGUAACCUGCCCUUGACUUUGGGAUAACUUCAGGAAACUGGGGCUAAUACCGUAUAGGAUCUCCUGCUGCAUUGUGGGGGUUGGAAAGUUUCGGCGGUGGGGGAUGGACUCGCGGCUUAUCAGCUUGUUGGUGGGGUAGUGGCUUACCCAGGCUUUGACGGGUAGCCGGCCUGAGAGGGUGACCGGCGACACUGGGACUGAGAUACGGCCGAGAUGGCUACGGGAGGAAGCAGUGGGGAAUACUGAACAAUGGGCGGAAGGCUGAUGCAGAAACGCCGCGUGCGGGAUGACGGCCUUCGGGUUGUAAACAGCUUUCGCCUGUGACGAAGCGUGAGUGAAGGUAAUGGGUAAAGAAGCAACGGCUAAAUACGUG